CGGGCUGCGGAGGCCGUUCUGGCAGCCGGUGUGGCCUUGGCCAGUUCAGGCCUUGGGCUCCUCCCCAAAGAGGGCACUUCCUGUGGCCACAGGCCAGUCCCUGAGGGGACACAGCUGUGAGCUGUGGGCAGCCCACACUCCUCGCGGCUGGGCCAUGAGAGUGUCGACACUGAAGGGCCGUCCGUCCUCUCUCUGGGGGUCUCAUUCAGGAUCGUAGUUUUGAGAGCCACUGACUGGAGAGCGACUCCAACCUGUGUAUCUCGGCCCUGCGACCCUCACGGAGCUCCAGACGUCCGCGGACCGCGGCUUCCCUGGCAUCUCCACGUGAUACCGAGAGGCACCUCCAGCGGAGCAGCGGGUGACUGCUGUGCCCGCCAGCCCUCCUCUGGAUGAGGCGAAGGGAGAAGGGGGCUGGAUGGAGGAAGAGAUUUCAGCAAAGCGGUCGAGGACACGGGUACACGGGCAGGGCCAGGGAGAGCAUCACCAGGCACCUAAGGAACGGGAGCCACUUCCCUGUAUUGGUUUCGAGAACGGGUGGAGUCACAGGGCACACUUAGAAACAUCUCUGACACGGGGAGCUGGCGUCUGUAGAGACUGUGUGCCGUGAGCCCUGGAUGGUGGUGUGGGUGCCACGGAGGGACUCCCAGCGAUGCCCUGUCAUAGAGGGACCCCCAGCGAUGUCCUGCCAUGGAGGGACCCCCAGCGAUGCCCUGUCAUAGAGGGACCUCCAGUGAUGUCCUGCCAUGGAGGGACCCCCAGCGAUGCCCUGUCAUAGAGGGACCCCGAGUGAUGCCCUGUCAUAGAGGGAUCCCCAGUAAUGUCCUGCCAUGGAGGGACCCCCAGCGAUGUCCUGCCACGGAGGGACCCCCAGCGUUGUCCUGCCACAGAGGGACCCCCGGCGAUGCCCUGUCAUAGAGGGAUCCCCAGUAAUGUCCUGCCACAGAGGGACCCCCAGCGAUGCCCUGUCAUAGAGGGACCCCCAGCGUUGUCCUGCCAUGGAGGGACCCCCAGCGAUGCCCUGUCAUAGAGGGACCCCCAGUGAUGUCCUGCCACGGAGGGACCCGCAGCGAUGCCCUGUCAUCUCCAGAGCGAAGCCACCAGAAAGGAACGAGAGCUGUUAUUGCAAAGUCCUAAUUAGAAACACGGGUGGAUCUUGGGUGAAUAUUUCCCGUAAUCGUACACGCAGGUCAUGUGGACUUGGGACCAUUAUUUCUUUGCCAGCUUCCUGAGAAGAGAGUGUCACCAUCAGAGCGAAUCUGACAAAUAAGCCAGAGGGCUGGAGGAGGACAAGUCCACAGAGGGAUUCGGGCGUUCUGGCUGGCGCGUGGCGAGCACUGAACUCGGCUCGCGGACUGAACAGACCUCCCCCGGCCUGCGCGGCAUGGUCGGCAAGGCAUCUCUGCUUUUGGGAGUGUCUUUCCCAAACCAUCUAUCGGAAGACAAACAGCAAAUAAAUGGUCAUAGUUCCCACUGGGACCCUCUCUGCACAGGAAUAAGGAAUCCCAGGGGGAUAGCUUCUGUUUGCUGCCCCCGGAGCGUACGCGCAAGUCAAGGAAUUAAAAACCACACGUGGGCUUUGCCGGCCGG